rnacentral:rRNA from 1 species
UUACCGCCUUGACAUGCGAGAGAUUAGUUAGCUGACAGGUGCUGCAUGGCUGUCGUCAGCUCGUGUCGUGAGAUGUUGGGUUAAGUCCCGCAACGAGCGCAACCCCGCCUUAGUUGCCAGCAUAUGGGACUCUAGGGGACUGCCGGUGAUAACCGGAGGAAGGUGGGGAUGACGUCAAGUCCUCAUGGCCCUUAUGGCGGGCUACACACGUGCUACAAUGGGUGACAUGGGAAUCCCAAAAGCGUCUCAGUUCGGAUUGUUCUCUGCAACUCGAGAGCAUGAAGUUGGAAUCGCUAGUAAUCGUGAUCAGCAUGCACGGUGAAUACGUUCCCGGGCCUUGUACACACCGCCCGUCACACCAUGGGAGUUGGUUACCGAA